GGCGAACGGGUGAGUAACACGUGAGUAACCUGCCCUGGACUUUGGGAUAACCCUCGGAAACGGGGGCUAAUACCGAAUACGACACGAGACUGCAUGGUCUUCGUGUGGAAAGUUUUUCGGUCUGGGAUGGGCUCGCGGCCUAUCAGCUUGUUGGUGGGGUGAUGGCCUACCAAGGCGACGACGGGUAGCCGGCCUGAGAGGGCGACCGGCCACACUGGGACUGAGACACGGCCCAGACUCCUACGGGAGGCAGCAGUGGGGAAUAUUGCACAAUGGGCGGAAGCCUGAUGCAGCGACGCCGCGUGAGGGAUGACGGCCUUCGGGUUGUAAACCUCUUUCAGCAGGGACGAAGCGAGAGUGACGGUACCUGCAGAAGAAGCGCCGGNCAACUACGUGCCAGCCGCCGCGG
rnacentral:rRNA from 1 species